GACCAGUUCCAGCAAGGAUGCAGACGGGAUCAAAGAUUCCUAAACUCUUUUGGGCCAGUCAGGAGACUGGAGGUGAAGCAGAAAAAGCAAAUAAGAGGCGAAUGCCACAUUAGGCGAAGUCUCUAUGAAAAUAAAAAAAAAUAAAAAAACGGGAGGAUGGAUAUGCUUUGCUAAGCAUGACCCACGGUCGCAAAAUCUGCAAGUACCGACCAUUGGCCAUGGAGCUCAAGGAACUGUGGGGGCUAAGGGAGGACCCAAGAAUUGUUCCAGUCGUUCUCUCUGGAACUGGAAUUGUCCCGAACACUCUUCUGGAAGCGCUAAAGGUGUUGAACAAGGAGAAGGAAUUGGCCGGCAUCCAAAAGUCGGUCAUCCUUAGCACCUGCGCGAUUGUCCGACAAUUCCUCGGUCAGGACUAAAACAGCACGAGCAUGCAGAUACGUGCAUUUCGCAGAGCCUAGUCCCCCUUUGGCAUUCAGAAGCCCGGGGGCAGGUUAAAAUUCUGGCUAGGUUCGCCUAGUUAAGAAGCGAGAUAAGUCUGCAAAAAAAAUAAAUCAUUUUUUUACAGAUCGUUGCACAUGCCAGCAAUAAUCAGAUGUCGGAGAAAUCGCGUCAGGAGAUAUGGUUUUUGGAAUACCAAAAUUUGAAUGGAGAGUGGAUCGAGGAUGAAACUCCACUGGAUCUAAUUCGAAGUGACACUGAGGAAAAUAAAAGCUGAGAGAGAUCUCUGGAAUAUAAAGGAAGCAAACCGUAAACUUGAGCAGGGGAAUCGGCAACUGAAGGCAUCAAAAGGAGUGAGUCUGAUCAAUCGUUGCUGCUUUCGGUUCCUGCUGUUUAUGGU